UGUUAUGGCUUAUGGUGAAUAUCCUGGUGGAACUUGUGGUCUAAUAGGUACAAAGCUGAUUUUCAAUGUUGAAAAGUUAGCUGACCAUGGUUCAAAGUAUGAUCAUUCUUACAAGGGACUAAGGUGAUUAAAAACCCUUUGAAUUUCUUGAUACUUCUCCUUGUCUUGGUCCUUAAGUGCUUCAGCAAGUAACUCAUGAAGAGGGAAGGCCAAAUGCUUGAAGAAUUGAUGGAAUCGUUCAAAGGGUGGGGGGGGGGGUUACAAAAGCUAAAAAGUCAACAAAACCGAGUGUCUGGCGCCCAAGCGCCCAUGCCUGGCGCCCGAGCGCCAGCUUGCCAGAUGGGGAAAUGUUGCUUCUGCCUCAUGGGCGCUCGAGCGCCCCAGGGCAGCGCUUGAGCGCCCCUGCUCGACCAUUUUGCCUAUAAAUAAGGCCUUAGGCCAUUUUGUUCAGAACUUAUGACUUUUUCUUAUAAUUUUACCAAGUAUUGAAGCUUAGGAAGUGCUUUUGGGGCUUGUGGGAAGCUUCCACCUUGUAUUUUCCAGGUUUCAUUUACAUUUCUUGUAUGGAUUUUCUAGCCAUGAGUGGCUAGUACUCUAUUUGCUUUGGGAUUAAGUGAUUUCAUGAA